rnacentral:rRNA from 1 species
UGGGGUGCAACUGACGCUGAGGCUCGAAAGUGCGGGUAUCAAACAGGAUUAGAUACCCUGGUAGUCCGCACAGUAAACGAUGAAUACUCGCUGUCGGCGAUAUACUGUCGGCGGCCAAGCGAAAGCAUUAAGUAUUCCACCUGGGGAGUACGCCGGCAACGGUGAAACUCAAAGGAAUUGACGGGGGCCCGCACAAGCGGAGGAACAUGUGGUUUAAUUCGAUGAUACGCGAGGAACCUUACCCGGGCUUGAACUGCACCCGACGGACGGAGAGAUCCGUCUUCCGCAAGGCGGGUGUGGAGGUGCUGCAUGGUUGUCGUCAGCUCGUGCCGUGAGGUGUCGGCUUAAGUGCCAUAACGAGCGCAACCCUUCUCUUCAGUUGCCAUCAGGUUAAGCUGGGCACUCUGGAGACACUGCCAUCGUAAGAUGCGAGGAAGGUGGGGAUGACGUCAAAUCAGCACGGCCCUUACGUCCGGGGCUACACACGUGUUACAAUGGGAGGUACAGAAGGCCGCGACCCGGCGACGGGAAGCCAAUCCCCAAAUCCUCUCUCAGUUCGGACUGGAGUCUGCAACCCGACUCCACGAAGCUGGAUUCGCUA